UACGGAAGGCAGCAGUGGGGAAUAUUGCACAAUGGGCGAAAGCCUGAUGCAGCUAUGCCGCGUGUAUGAAGAAGGCCUUAGGGUUGUAAAGUACUUUCAUCGGGGAGGAAAAAACAAAACUAAUAAUUUUAUUUCUUGACGUUACCCGAAAAAGAAGCACCGGCUAACUCCGUGCCAGCAGCCGCGGUAAUACGGAGGGUGCUAGCGUUAAUCAGAAUUACUGGGCGUAAAGAGCACGUAGGUGGUUUUUUUAAGUCAGAUGUGAAAUCCCUGGGCUUAACCUAGGAACUGCAUUUUGAAACUGAAAUACUAGAGUAUCGUAGAGGGAGGUAGAAUUCUAGGUGUAGCGGUGAAAUGCGUAGAUAUCUGGAGGAAUACCUGUGGCGAAAGCGGCCUCCUAAACGAAUACUGACACUGAGGGUGCGAAAGCGUGGGGAGCAAACAGGAUUAGAUACC
rnacentral:rRNA from 1 species